rnacentral:rRNA from 1 species
CAAUAGCGUAUACUAAUGUUGUUGCAGUUAAAAAGCUCGUAGUUGAACUUCUGGUAGGAGUGUCCCGGCCUUUUUGUUUUUACAAAUUGUAUGCUGUGUGACAUCUCUGGCCAUCCUUCUUCUUUGUUUAAAGAAGAUCUUUCACUGUAAAAAAAUUAGGGUGUUCAAAGCAAAAGUUUCUUUGGAAUAUAUUAGAUGGGAUGAUAAGAUAGGCUCUAGAUGCUAUUUUGUUGGUUUGCACAUUUAGAGAAUGAUUAACAGGGACAGUUGGGGGUAUUCGUAUUUACAUGUCAGAGGUGAAAUUCUUGGAUUUUGGAAAGACGAACUACUGCGAAAGCAUUUACCAAGGAUGUUUUCAUUAA